rnacentral:rRNA from 1 species
UGGGGAAUAUUGGACAAUGGGCGCAAGCCUGAUCCAGCUAUGCCGCGUGGAUGAAGAAGGCCCUAGGGUUGUAAAGUCCUUUCGUUGGUGAAGAUAAUGACGGUAACCAAAGAAGAAGCCCCGGCUAAUUUCGUGCCAGCAGCCGCGGUAAUACGAAAGGGGCUAGCGUUGUUCGGAAUUACUGGGCGUAAAGCGCACGUAGGCGGCCUUGUAAGAUGGGGGUGAAAUCCCUGGGCUCAACCCAGGAACUGCCUUCAUGACUGCAAAGCUCGAGGAUGUGAGAGGUUGGCGGAAUUCCGAGUGUAGAGGUGAAAUUCGUAGAUAUUCGGAAGAACACCAGUGGCGAAGGCGGCCAACUGGCACAUUUCUGACGCUGAGGUGCGAAAGCGUGGGGAGCAAACAGGAUUAGAUACCCCCGUAGUCCCUGAGCGGGCUGGCAAGGCGCAU